UACGUAGGGGGCGAGCGUUGUCCGGAAUGACUGGGCGUAAAGGGCGUGUAGGCGGUUUUUUAAGUCUGGAGUGAAAGUCCUGCAUUCAAUGUGGGAAUUGCUUUGGAUACUGGAAGACUUGAGUGCGGGAGAGGUAAGUGGAAUUCCCAGUGUAGCGGUGAAAUGCGUAGAGACUGGGAGGAACACCAGUGGCGAAGGCGACUUACUGGGCCGUAACUUACGCUGAGGCGCGAAAGCGUGGGGAGCGAAC
rnacentral:rRNA from 1 species